GGGAGGGGUAGUUUAAUCCCAAAGCCAAGGACAAGGGCCAUGGACAGAGAAGGUACUGGGGUCUUUGCUGCUGUGAUCACAGCAGUGCAGCAGGCAGGCUACAGAAACAGGUCUGGAUGGGACCCACCAUUUACUGCUGAGGUUUUACAUGGGAUCCCUUCCCAGAAAUCCCCCCACCCAACCCUAGGUCACACCACAACCUUCUUGCUUUCUCUCAGCUCUUUGCCAAGGGCCAGAAAUCUCUGCAGUGCGGCCCUCCUGCUGCUAAUGGCUUCUCUGUCUCUCUUAGGGAUUGUGCGCCAGGAGACCUCACUAGCUUCUUCCGAUGAUGUUCUCAGUGCCCCCAGUCCUAGCCAUGCAGACGACAGUGACACAGCUCUGCAGCCCCUUUCACAGGGACUCCACAGCCACUGUGUUCUGCCGUGUCUUUUCCUGAUCACUGGCAAGCACUGGGGAUGCUUGACACCCUCGGGUUCUGGCUUCAGGGUGGAAGAGAGUUGUUGAAAAGGUCCUCCAGACCCAACCUUGCUGAAGUGUUAGAAGCUUCUAGAAGAGCGGCCCACAAUUAAGACCUUUCUAUCCCGGACUCAUUGCUGUCGGGGAGACAAGCAGAGCAGAACAGUUAACAG
rnacentral:lncRNA from 1 species